UAAAAACCCCGACUUCGGAAGGGGUGUAUUUAUUAGAUACAAAACCAAUGCCCUUCGGGGCUCUUUGGUGAUUCAUGAUAACUAUACGAAUCGCACGGCCUUGCGCCGGCGAUGGUUCAUUCAAAUUUCUUCCCUAUCAACUUUCGAUGUUUGGGUAUUGGCCAAACAUGGUUGCAACGGGUAACGGAGGGUUAGGGCUCGACCCCGGAGAAGGAGCCUGAGAAACGGCUACUACAUCCAAGGAAGGCAGCAGGCGCGCAAAUUACCCAAUCCCGACUCGGGGAGGUAGUGACAAUAAAUACAGAUACAGGGCCCUUUCGGGCCUUGUAAUUGGAAUGAGUACAAUUUAAAUCCCUUAACGAGGAACAAUUGGAGGGCAAGUCUGGUGCCAGCAGCCGCGGUAAUUCCAGCUCCAAUAGCGUAUAUUAAAGUUGUUGUGGUUAAAAAGCUCGUAGUUGAACCUUGGGCCUGGCUGGCCGGUCCGCCUCACCGCGUGCACUGGUCCGGCCGGGCCUUUCCCUCUGUGGAACCCCAUACCCUUCACUGGGCGUGGCGGGGAAACAGGACAUUUACUUU
rnacentral:rRNA from 1 species